ensembl:lncRNA
UGGGACUACAGGCUCAUCCUACUGCACCCAGGCUGGAAUUUCAAUUUCAAUUUCAAUGGCUGGAAAUCAAACUUUUCCUAUUGCAGUAUGCUUAUGGUGCUGUAGUGUUGUGGCGUGGGCACAACCAGUAUUGUUUUGUAUGCUGUUAGAAUGAAUGCCUUCCAGAUUUAUUGGGAGAGGUCCAUCCACGUCCAAAGUUCCAACUCUCUUACAAUCUUUAAUGUGCAAACGGGAGUGGAGUCCCAAGAAGAACCUGAGAGAGGCGGAGAAGAGAGUCACCCUGUUGUCUCCCUCCAGUGUCAGCCUGACCAUCAGUGUGAACUGGAACACACCCCCAAGUUUCCGGGGUACACAUGGGUGAUCCAGCCGCUCUCACAUGGAGGCACGCCUCCUGGACCUGCCCCAAGAGAUGCAUCGGCUGGCUGCAAAUCAACGCCUCCAACUCAAGUUUCCACAUGGGAUUUGGGCUUCGUGUUUGAUGUCUAUGCCAAGGCUGCCCUGGACAGCUGCCUCGCCUAGUUCCAGCAACUGCGGGGGAGAUGGUACCUCUCUGUGAACUCUCCCUGAUUUAAAGUAACCGUCUCUUCAACAUAGACCAUAUUUUACAUUUCAAAUGCACCCUUCAGUCUGGUGAAAACUGUCCAGCUGUUUCACAUGACAUGGUGACAGAGAUGUAGUGUUUAGUUUUAUUUUUUAGAAAUGUAGCUUUGACCGGACUCACACCUGUAAUGCCAGCUCUUUGGGAGGCCGAGGCAGGUGGAUCACCUGAGGUCAGGAGUUCAAGACCAGCCUGAGCAAGAUGUUGAAACCCCAUCUGAACUAGAAAUACAAAAAUUAGCCUGGUGGCGCAUGCCUGUAAUCAUAGCUACUUGGGAGGCUGAGGCAGGAGAAUCACUUGAGCCUGGGAGGCAGAGGUUGCAGUGAUCUGAGAUUGCGCCACUGUACUCCAGCCUGGGCGACACAGUGAGGCUGUCUCAAAAAAAAAAAAAAAAAAGACAGAGAGAGAGAUAUAUAGUUUUUAUUUACAGAGAAUUACAUUCUUUAUUCACAGAAUAGUGGUUAUAAAUUUUAUUAGUGACACCAAAUUGAGAAGGAGCUAGCAGCAAUCAGGGGAUUUUAUGGAAUGAUCGAGGAUGCAGGCUGUGGAAUCAAACCACAGUUUCCAGCCCUGACUUCACUGACAGCAACCACCUUGGAGAUCUGGGACAAACUCAUUCUCCUCAUCUUGGUAGUUUCUCACUGCAGGGCCUCAGUGUGUGGUAGUGAGGGUUAGCUGAGAUGCACGUGAAGAACUUAGGGCAGUGCCUGUUUGCACUAGCGGCGGGUGCAGCCAGCUGGUCUCUGAGGGUGCCUGUGAGCCCGGCAGCAGUCCUGUUGCUGAGGCCCCGUACUGGCUACUCUGUGACUAAGUCAGUGUAUUUGUUUCCCAUUGCUGCCAUCACAAACUACCUCAAACCUCAAAUGGCUGAAAACAAUCCAGCUUUACACCAUACAGCUCUGGAAGUCGGAACUCCAGAAUGGGGCAGCUGGGCUGGUUCCUCCCAAGGCUCCGGGGAGAAUCUGCUUCCUGGCCUUUUCCAACUUCUAGAGGCUGCCUGUGUUCCGUGUGGCUCCACAUUGCCCUGACCUCUGCAUCUGUCCUCACAUCUCCUUCUCUGGAUGUGACCCUCCUCCCUCUUUCAUGAGGACCUGUGAUCACACUGAGCCCACCCAGAUGAUCUGUAAGAAUGAUUUGUGAUCCUAAUGUCUAAAAAUGGAGUGGCUUCUGUCAUGUGUGUAAACCAAAAACAAAAUUCUAAGCCCUCAGUCAUCUAUACGGACCCCUCCUCUCAGCAAAGGCAUUCCAAAGCUAACUUGCAAAACUAGUUCAGGCCAUGAUGGGAAGGGGAGCCGGACAUGCUUCAUUAUACACUCUGCCCUUUUGGAAUUACUGAUAGAGCUGACACUUUAAGUCUGGUAAGAAACAUUUACAGUUUAUUAUCUCUGACACCUGCUGCCUGGAGGCUUCGCCUGCAUGAUAAAACCUUGGUGUCCACAGCCCCUUAUCAUCAUCCAGACAUUCCUUUCUACUGAUUCAGAAAAUCUCUGAUGGACACACCUGGGGAAAACCAUAAAAACAGCAAGGAACUGACACUGCCAGAGGCAUCCUGAGAAUUCCUGCCUGUAGGAACUUAGAUGCCGCCUCCGGAUGAGACAGCGGCUGCCCAGAGGCUGUGUGUGAGAGGAGUGUCUGCUGUGCUAGCCUUCUGAGCCACUGCUUGGGUUUGCCAUUCCCCUCAUUACUGCUUUUAGUAAUCGGAUCAUGUCAUUCCCAUCACUCACGGGAAAAUAAACAAUGAAAAAACAUUGUAUUGUGAAUGUGUGCUUGAUUGGGUAUAUGUGAGUCUCUGGCAAUAAACCAUGUUUAAGCAUUGCACAUUGGUUACUGGGUCAUUGUGAAACCUGACUUUGAUCUUAGUUAGCACACAGGCCACACAAGAACCCGAUUACAGUAACAAUUAAAAUGAACAAAAUACCAG